rnacentral:rRNA from 1 species
AGUGAACGCUGGCGGUAGGCCUAACACAUGCAAGUCGAACGGCCGCACAGUAAGAGCUUGCUCUUACGGGUGGCGAGUGGCGGACGGGUGAGGAAUACAUCGGAAUCUACUUUUUCGUGGGGGAUAACGUGGGGAAACUUACGCUAAUACCGCAUACGACCUACGGGUUAAAGCAGUAGUUCUUCGGACCUUGCGCGAUUGAUUGAGCCGAUGUCGGAUUAGCUAGUUGGCGGGGUAAAGGCCCACCAAGGCGACGAUCCGUAGCUGGUCUGAGAGGAUGAUCAGCCACACUGGAACUGAGACACGGUCCAGACUCCUACGGGAGGCAGCAGUGGGGAAUAUUGGACAAUGGGCGCAAGCCUGAUCCAGCCAUACCGCGUGGGUGAAGAAGGCCUUCGGGUUGUAAAGCCCUUUUGUUGGGAAAGAAAAGCAGCAGGUUAAUACCCCGCUGUUCUGACGGUACCCAAAGAAUAAGCACCGGCUAACUUCGUG